rnacentral:rRNA from 1 species
AUACGGAAGGUCCGGGCGUUAUCCGGAUUUAUUGGGUUUAAAGGGAGCGCAGGCGGCCUUUUAAGCGUGACGUGAAAUGUAGGCGCUCAACGUCUGAAUUGCGUCGCGAACUGUUAGGCUUGAGUAGACGGAAUGUCGGCGGAAUUCGUGGUGUAGCGGUGAAAUGCUUAGAUAUCACGAAGAACUCCGAUUGCGAAGGCAGCUGACAGCAGUUUUACUGACGCUCAUGCUCGAAAGUGCGGGUAUCGAACAGGAUUAGAUACCCUGGUAGUCUGCACGGUAAACGAUGGAUGCCCGCUGUUUGCCAUUUUGGUAAGCGGCCAAGCGAAAGCAUUAAGCAUCCCACCUGGGGAGUACGCCGGCAACGGUGAAACUCAAAGGAAUUGACGGGG